UCCCCAUUUCCUUUUAAUGUCAUAGUAUUGGUAGUUGAUAUAUUAAAUUUAUUGCUUUUACCCUCCGUAUAAGUAGAUUUUUGCAGACUAAAAUUGAGCAAUAAGUGAUGAGCCCUGAGCUGAGAAAAUUAUUGACAUGCCUGGGGACCAUGGAAUAAUCCAAGAAAGUAGAGAUGGAGAACUCUAAAGUGUCAGUUUUAUCAUUUAUGUGGUCCACCGAUAUCCCCACUUAUCAUCAGGCUAGGCCAACAUCAUAUUCCCCUAACUGCUUAACAUAGAAAAAGCUAUCCCUGAAACGUAAUCUCUUCAACUUGUUAUCCUGUCUCUAAGCCAGAGGUCAGAUUGUUCACAUCAUAUGAGAUCUAGCCUAACAUUACUCAUUUUUGGAUAGGGUUGUGCACGGUUUUUUGGGAAACAGAACCAUACCAAAUUGAAUUUAUUUUGAUAUUUUAAUUCGGUUAUAAUUUUUCACUAAGAAUCGAAUCAAAACGGUAUCGAAACCGAAUCAGAACCGUACCGAACUGAAACCGAACCAAGAAUCGAAUUUAUGCAUAUGUUUUUUUUAUGACUUUUUUAGACGUGUUAUACACUUCCAAUAUAAUUAUAUAUAUCUAUAUAUGUACAUAUAAUUAUAAACUAAAUAC
rnacentral:misc_RNA from 1 species